UUCUUGGUUGGCACUUGGCUGGCAUCUGUCAAGUCUGUCAUCAAAAUAGGCCUGUCUGCCGUAUGGAAAUAUUUUGUAUUGUUAAAGACAAAUCUUCUCAUUAAAUCUUUCUCCUGAAGGAUUCCCAAUAAGGCUAUUUAGGAACUAUUAUUCUUUACAGUGGCUUUAAAACAAAUCUAGGUUGAAUUCUAUGGUUUUUUUAUUAUGCGUUGUAAGUUAACUGGAGGCUAACUAAAAAUUGCCAUAUACUUCGUUCAAGUAAAGCCUAGGAAGGAAUGGUAAAAUGUUCAAGAAACUAAAGGAUAAAAUUGCUGAAGAAGUUAAGCAAUCUCCUCUUAAAUCAGUGCAACAGUUGGCCCAGGCUGUUGUUUCUCCUUCUAGUAGCUCUGUAUUUGAACCAUCUUCAAGUAAUGAUAAAUUUUGUAUAGAAGAAGGAGAUGUUGAAGAAGAUGAGACGCAGGAGCAGGAGAAACCAGGGGGAUUCACCUCCGUAGCCCUGACUGGUCAGACUGCAUCACCAGUCCGAGAUCAGAGCCAGAAAUACACCUACCGAUCCUCCCCGGGGUCUCUGACAGUUGAGGCUGAUAAUCUGUUUCCUAAAUUUGAACCACAACCAACAAACUACCAUGUUCAGUCUGACUGGGAGUCGGCCAGUGAGGUGGAGGACAGGUACAGUCAGUUGGAGCAUAUCACCAAGGAAAGUCUGUACGAAGCUUAUCGCAAAGUCUACAACCGCUACAACAAGAUGCGGAACAGAUAUCACGAGGUGGUUACUCACUACCGGCAGCUGGAGAGGGAGAAGGAGAAAGCCAAGACAGUAUUGACAGAGACACAAGACAAAGCACUGCUACGCAUCAGUGAGCUGAGAGACCAGUGUUUGUUGGAGCAGCAAGCCAAGGCUCAUCUAGAGGAGGCAUUACGCAACGAGCUGGAGGAACGAGACCACAUCAUCAAAACUCUCAGGACCAAGGUACAAUAUUUAAAGGGUGUCAGUGACAGUACUGGAACUGAAUGCCUAGAUGCAUCUUACUCUUCGAAGGAGGAAGCAAAUCUCAUAGACUUCACGGAAAACUCUAGUGUUUCAUUAGUGCCUUUGCCAUUAGAUGCCUCAAGUAGUGCAGACAAAAUUAAUUGGUUUGAAGAAAAGUUGAAGUUAAUAAAAGCUACUUUGAUUGAAGAAACAGAACAAUUUGACCUAUUGAAAAGUAAAUUGAAGAAGUUGAAACUACAGGGAGGUGCUUCUGAAGAUGAAAGCUUUGACAAUGUGGAUAACUCUCAGCUUUCUAAAUUCCAACAAAAUGAAGUUGAAGUUACCAAAGCUUUGGGCCACUUAAUUGGGAAAAUUUCUGCUGAAGUUCAAAGUCUACAAAAGAGUGCAAUUUCUUGUUCCUUAUUAACUUCAAGCUAUGAUAAGCAAAAUUUUGAUUUAAAAUCCACAAACAAAAAAUUGACCGAAAACAGAACUGCUCAAGAUGAACAAAAAGUUGAAAUGGAAAAACUUACUGCCUUAAUCAAACAACUUGAAGAACAAAAUAAAACGCUAUCUCACAAGUUGGAAGAUGAAAGUAGUUCUUUAAAAGAAGUGAAAAAUGAACUAAAUUGCCUCAAAACAACAUCAAACAUGUUAAAAAGCAAAAUAAAGUUAUCUAAUGAUAAUUAUGGAAAAAACGAUGCCAUAAAUUGCCUUAUUUCUAAUGUAGAGAAUGAACUGAUUCAAGAAUGGAAUUUGUGCUUUCAAAACUUUUUACAAACGAGAUGUGAAGUGACAGUGCUGAAAGAUACAAAAGAGGAUUUAGAAAAAGAGUUAUUAAGGUUAAAGGAAGAAGGUAAACAAUUAGAAAAUACCAACAAGGAAAUUACAGAAAAAAAUAACAAAUUUAAAGGAGAUAUGAAAUCUUUGCAAAAUAAAUUGGAGGAAUACUUAACUAAACUUGAUACUCUGUCAAUGGAAAAAAGUGAACUGAAAGCCAGCAAUGAAAAUUUAGAGAUGCAAAUAAAAAAAAUCGAAAAAACAUUGUUACAUUAUCAAAAUGUCUCUGGCGAGAAGAGUGAGAAGUUGCAGAAAAUUAUUGAUGAGAAAAGCAGAGAAGAAACAAAACUUAUAAGCUUAGAAGAAGAACUUGCAAAGUGUAAAACUGAGUGUGGUCUUCUUUUGGAGUCAAAAGAAAUUAUGAAUAAUGAAAUUGUGUCUCUGAGGAAAGAAAAUAUUGAUGUGAUCUCAGAAAAAGAAGCUCUGAAUAACAAGGUAAAUGAAAUGGAAAACAAAUUAAAGCUAAUCAAAGAUGACUAUAAACUGAUGCAAGAUACUUCAGAUGGACUAGAAAAUCAAAUCAACUCAUUGACCAACUUAAAUAAGGAACUUGCUGCUGAAAAAAAUACUAUUCUCUUGAAGCUUUCAAAUCUUGAAAGUGAUCUUGAGAAAAAUAAAGCAUCCAACUCGAGUCUACUUGAGGAAAAGAACAAUUUAAUGCAUGAGCUGGAACACUGGAAGAGUGAAUUUGAGAAUAUCAGUAAAGAAAAACUUACCGUCACUGAAAAACUUGAUCAUCUUGUCAAGGAGUUAGAAAGCAAUAAAUCAAACUCAGAGUCUGUUGAGCUUUUACGAGAACGUUUAAAUGAGGUUGAAUCUUUAAAAAAAGAAAAUGAUAAAUUAUUAGAAGAAAAGCGUGUUUUAGAGAAUAAUAUCAAAUCACUGAACUUAGAAACUGACAGGCUCAAAUCUAGCUGCAGCGAAUACAUCAACACCAAAAAUGAUUUGUCAGGAGAGUUGUUUUCUGUGAAGCAGGAACGAGACAAACUUGUAUCUGAGAUUAACCUUCAUGCAAAUCAAAUAUUAGAACUAGAAUCAGCUUUGAAUGCUAAAAUUGAAGAAUUGUCAAUCCUUAUGAAAGAGCAUGCUGAAUUAACUCUUAAGACACAUGAUUUGCAAAAAGAACUAACAAAACUGCAAGAAUCUCAAAAGUUAAACUUGGAGAAUCAUUCUUCUAUAUCAGAAGUCAAUAAGAAGUUAUCUGAUGAACUUAGUUCCUUAGGAAAAGAAAGAGAGAGUUUACUAAAUGAAAAAUAUACUUUGGAAAAUGAAUUUAAAACUUUGAACAACAAGUAUUUAACUAGUGUAGAAGAAUUAACAAAACUGACCAAAGAACAAACACAAUUGGAUGAAAAAUUUCAAUCUCUACAAAACAAGUACGAGAAACUAUUAAAAAACAAGAAAAAUGAAGAAGACAGUAUGAAGGAAAUAAAAAGUCAACUUAGGGAAAAGGAAGAAAUGUUACGGUCUGUCAGUGAAAUAAACCAGCAACAGUCAAAGGACAUAGAAAUGUUGAAAGAAAAUUGUACGAAAAAUGAGAAUGAACUGAAAUUGUUAAAGGAUAGACAUAACACUAUCGUUGCUGAACUUGAAAAAAACAAAGAGCUUGUUUUAUCUCUCAAAGAAAUUAAAAUAAAGUUAUCUGAGGAAAUCAGUUGUCUCAAGAACGAUUGUGAACGCUACGAAGAAAGUUUAAAAAAAACUAAAGCACAGCUUCAACAGGAAGAAACUAGUAGUUUGGAGUUGAAAAACCAGAUUUGCUCUAUAUCAGAAUCCUUCAAGGAGAAGUGUCAGGAAACAAAUGAAAAAUAUCAAGAAAAUAUACGUCUAAAAUCUGAAAUGGAUAAACUCAUGGAUAAAGUAAAUGCCUUGAAUACAUGCAUUGAAAAACUUACCAAAGAAAAGAAUGUCAUUUUAAAUUAUUUGUUAGUUAAUUUUAAUAAUGUAAAAAUAAUCAAAGAAUUGCAAAAGGGUUUGUGUGAUUUUGUCAACGAUUUUCAAGAUGAAAUGUCUCGUGAAAUCAAUUAUAUUAAUUAUAAGUUGGAGAAUGAUUUGUUGAAACUUGUAAAUCAUUCAAUUGAACACGAAAUAGAAUGUUCUCACGCAAAACUCAUUGAGGUAGAACACAAGAGCAAAGAUGAUAUUAACUCAUACAACUCAAAAUUAAAAAAUUUUCAAGAGUUAUCAAACAUACAAGAAGAAGUGUUACAAGUUAAUGUCAAAGGCUUAGAAAGUGUAUAUCCAGUAAACAAUGAACAAGAAACUGGUUCAAAUAUGGUAUCAUUUAGACAGAUGGGACACCUAGAGAGAUUAUCUCAACUAGAUAUUGGCAACUCUUACGAACCUGAAGUUUAUUUGAAACAAGCUAUAUUACUGAUGAAAUCUUUCACAAACCUGUUGAAUCAUAAUUCUGUGAAUAGUGAAUACUCUGUUGAUUUGUUUACAUCAAACAAUGACAAAUCAAAACUUGAUUCAGAAGGCAAAAAUAUUCAAAAAGAAAUUGUUGCGAUGGAAUCAUUCAUAACCAAUUUUGAAACCAAAUACCAUGAAACAAGUUCUUCAAAAUUGAAAUUUCUAGAAACUGAUAGAUCUGAUAAUAAGCUAUGCAAUGAAAUGGAAAUGCAACUGAGACAAGAGAUCAGUCUUAAAGAUGAUAUUAUUAAAAAACUCCAGUCUGUUAUUGAAGAUUAUGAGCAGAAAGAACAUGUUAAUGACAUUGAAUUUAUUUACAAACAAAAACUUCAAAGGCUAGAGCAAGAAAAUGAUUUACUCAACGAAAAACUUCAGAAACUCCAGGAUACACAUGAGUUAAAUGUGAAAAAUGUUGUUUCUGAAUAUGAGAAAAAGAUUAAAGAAGUCGAAGAUGAAUCCAGCCUCUACGAUUUUGAAAAGAUUGGUAAGGAACAGAAGCACAUUGUCAAUGAAAUGAAGGAACAAAUUCAAAACUUACAACAAGAUUUGGAAGAGAGAGGAGAUGCAUUUGAGAAGUUGUAUGAAGAACACCAGCAAACUGUUAAAAGUUUGGAUGGAGAGAUUCACCAGUUGAGGAGUAACCACGACAAGGAGCUGAGAGAGCAAGACAAGAAGUGGAGGCAAUGUCUGGACAGAAGAUUGGCUGAAGAAGAGACAAGACACCAACAAGCACUGAACACACUCAAUAUGGAGUGGAACUCUGAGAGAAGAGAGCUGGAGACUGCUCGUAGACUUGCAGUGAACGCAGUAGAGAGUGGUUCUGGCAGUAAUGAGUUGUUGAGGAGACAGGUACAAGCCCUCACCAUGCAACUGGCCGAGCUGAGGAACCAAAGAUGUGAAGCUUGUGGCCGUAAAAGAAAGAGUGAAGUAGGAGAAGAUCAAAGAUCAAGAUCGGUGCAAGACUGUACUGAGAUGGAAUACCUCAGAAAUAUUCUCUACGAGUAUAUGAUGGGCAAGGAACCAUUGGUUCUAGCUAAAGUCCUUUGUGCUUUAGUGAAGUUCGAUGAAAAUCAAACAAAGGAAAUUGUAUCAAAAGAAGAACAUAGGAUAACACUUUUGCGGAAAAAUCUAUGAAAGAUAGAAAAUUAUCAGUACAAACGCUUGAGGAACUCUUUGCAGUAAUUAUUUUGGACAACUGGGACUGCUGUGAUCAUUCCUUAAAACCGUUUUUCGCACGAGACAUAAUUAAUUUUUACCAAGUUGUUUGUGUACCAUUCAUUGUAAUUUACUGUUAACCAGUGCAAUAUUGAUUUUACUUACCUUUAUGCAUGUGUCAAUGUUAUAUUUUAUUACUAUUAAUAUUAUUUAUUGCCAAUGUUACAAUUUAUAUACAUGUACAUUUAUAUAUAAUAUAUAUACAUAUUAUACUAUUGAAAAUAAUAAGUAAUUUGUAAAUCUAAUAUAUU